AGUGAACGCUGGCGAUAGGCCUAACACAUGCAAGUCGAACGGCAGCACAGUAAGAGCUUGCUCUUACGGGUGGCGAGUGGCGGACGGGUGAGGAAUACAUCGGAAUCUACUUUUUCGUGGGGGAUAACGUAGGGAAACUUACGCUAAUACCGCAUACGACCUACGGGUGAAAGCAGGGGAUCUUCGGACCUUGCGCGAUUGAAUGAGCCGAUGUCGGAUUAGCUAGUUGGCGGGGUAAAGGCCCACCAAGGCGACGAUCCGUAGCUGGUCUGAGAGGAUGAUCAGCCACACUGGAACUGAGACACGGUCCAGACUCCUACGGGAGGCAGCAGUGGGGAAUAUUGGACAAAGGGCGCAAGCCUGAUCCAGCCAUACCGCGUGGGUGAAGAAGGCCUUCGGGUUGUAAAGCCCUUUUGUUGGGAAAGAAAAGCAGCAGGUUAAUACCCCGCUGUUCUGACGGUACCCAAAGAAUAAGCACCGGCUAACUUCGUG
rnacentral:rRNA from 1 species